AGAAACUCUGAUGCCUGAUUUCCUGAAAUAAAUCGAGGAGCUCCAAUUUCUGGGAACCUGGGUGUCCUGGGAGAACCUGGCUUUUGCUCUUUCGAAAACUCAGCAUUAAAGUAGCAGAGAGCUGUUCUCUCUGAGACUGCCUGCCUGUGGCACCAUGGUCUGCUAAAAAGGCCUGUAAUGCAAUUGAGGAAAGUUCUCUGUUUCCUGUCAGGGUCUGGGGGAAAGAGGCCAAGUGUGUGCUGUGUGCUUCUUGUACCUGCCUGUUCACCAAGUGGAACUCCCUAGGCUGGCCACUGCAGGGUCUCAGCUCAGAUACAGCCCGAUUCCUGUGCUAGAGUCAAUGCUUACCAGGCACUUUUGAGAUGAGCAUGUGACAAAACCAAUCAUGGAAUCCAUCACACAUUCAUUUAAUCUUCCAUCUGAACAUAUUGGUUUAUCCUUCUCUUUCUCUUUCCCCUCUAUGAGUUAACUAACAUUCUGCAGGUGCUUUGAAUGACUCAGCCCAAAUCUGCAACCCAGAGUUUUCCUGGAAGUAACUGACCAAUCCUUAUAUAGAAGAUGCAGGAGAAGAGUCCAUUUUCUGUGAGGCGUUGCUGUUCCAUCUGACCAGCUAGUUUAUGCUAACAGUGUGACUCGUGGUGAACAUCUGUUUUUGUAUGCCUGAGGCCCUGGACCAUGCUUUUGGAUCAAAGUAAUGUUGACCCCAUAAAACAAGAUGUAAAAGGUUCCCUUCUUUUGGUUUCUUCUGUUAAAACUCAUCAGUUAUUGGAAUUAAAAAAAAUAAA